GCAUAGCGGUAUCCUGAGUAACGCGGGACACGAGGAAUCCUGCGCGAAUCUGCCGGGACCAUCCGGUAAGGCUAAAUACUCCCGUGAGACCGAUAGCGAACGAGUACUGUGAAGGAAAGGUGAAAAGAACCCCGAGCAGGGGAGUGAAAUAGUUCCUGAAACCAUACGCCUACAAGCGGUCGGAGCAUCGCAAGAUGUGACGGCGUGCCUUUUGCAUAAUGAUCCUACGAGUUACCGUCACUGGCGAGGUUGAGUGUCAUGAGACACGUAGCCGCAGUGAAAGCGAGCCUGAAGAGGGCGCACAGUCAGUGGGGGUAGACGCGAAACCAAGUGAUCUACACUUGGCCAGGAUGAAGUCCCGGUAACACGGGAUGGAGGUCCGCACCAAUAAGCGUUGAAAAGCUUCUGGAUGAGCCGAGUGUAGGAGUGAAAGGCCAAUCAAACUUGGAGAUAGCUCGUACUCCCCGAAAGGCAUUUAGGUGCCGCGUCGGAUGGUCACCGUGAGAGGUAGAGCGACCGAUAGGACAAGAGGGCUUCACCGCCUAUCGAGUCCUGACGAACUCCGAAUGCUCACGGUCUGCAGUCCGGCAGUAAGGGGGCGGGUGCUAAGGUCCGUCCCCGAGAGGAGAAGAAUCCAGACCGCCGUCUAAGGUCCCGGAGUUCUGCCUGAGUUAGUCUAACGAAGUCUGGUCCCUAUGACAGCUAGGAUGUUGGCUUGGAAGCAGCCAUUCAUUCAAAGAGUGCGUAACAGCUCACUAGUCGAGGGUCCGGGCAUGGAUAAUAAUCGGGUAUAAGGCAGACACCGAAGGCGCGGGAUAGCAAUUAUAAAAGUAUCGGUAGGGGAGCAUACUCACAGCGUCGAAUGGUGUACGUAAGUUAUCCUGGAGCGGUGAGUAAAGCAAAUGUAGGAAUAAGUAACGAUAAGGAGGGUUAGAUUCCCUCCCGCUGUAAGACCAAGGUUUCCCGGGCAAUGCCAAUCAGCCCGGGGUCAGUCGGGUCCUAAGUCUAAGCCGAACGGCGAUGGCGAUGGCAGAGACGGUUAAUAUUCCGUCACUGCCGCAUGGGGCGACGUGGAGACGGAGCAGUGAAACCACCGCGGGGCGACGGAAGUCCCCGUUGAAG
rnacentral:rRNA from 1 species